rnacentral:rRNA from 1 species
GAUGAACGCUGGCGGCGUGCCUAGUACAUGCAAGUCGAGCGAACAGACGAGGAGCUUGCUCCUCUGACGUUAGCGGCGGACGGGUGAGUAACACGUGGAUAACCUACCUAUAAGACUGGGAUAACUUCGUGAAACCGGAGCUAAUACCGGAUAAUAUAUUGAACCGCAUGGUUCAAUAGUGAAAGACGGUUUUGCUGUCACUUAUAGAUGGAUCCGCGCCGCAUUAGCUAGUUGGUAAGGUAACGGCUUACCAAGGCGACGAUGCGUAGCCGACCUGAGAGGGUGAUCGGCCACACUGGAACUGAGACACGGUCCAGACUCCUACGGGAGGCAGCAGUAGGGAAUCUUCCGCAAUGGGCGAAAGCCUGACGGAGCAACGCCGCGUGAGUGAUGAAGGUCUUCGGAUCGUAAAACCCUGUUAUUAGGGAAGAACAAAUGUGUAAGUAACUAUGCACGUCUUGACGGUACCUAAUCAGAAAGCCACGGCUAACUACGUG